GAUGAACGCUGGCGGCGUGCCUAAUACAUGCAAGUCGAGCGAACAGACGAGGAGCUUGCUUCUCUGAUGUUAGCGGCGGACGGGUGAGUAACACGUGGAUAACCUACCUAUAAGACUGGGAUAACUUCGGGAAACCGGAGCUAAUACCGGAUAAUAUUUUGAACCGCAUGGUUCAAUAGUGAAAGACGGUCUUGCUGUCACUUAUAGAUGGAUCCGCGCUGCAUUAGCUAGUUGGUAAGGUAACGGCUUACCAAGGCAACGAUGCGUAGCCGACCUGAGAGGGUGAUCGGCCACACUGGAACUGAGACACGGUCCAGACUCCUACGGGAGGCAGCAGUAGGGAAUCUUCCGCAAUGGGCGAAAGCCUGACGGAGCAACGCCGCGUGAGUGAUGAAGGUCUUCGGAUCGUAAAACUCUGUUAUUAGGGAAGAACAAAUGUGUAAGUAACUAUGCACAUCUUGACGGUACCUAAUCAGAAAGCCACGGCUAACUACGUG
rnacentral:rRNA from 1 species